UUAAAGGAAUUGACGGAAGGGCACCACAAGGCGUGGGGCCUGCGGCUUAAUUUGACUCAACACGGGAAAGCUUACCAGGCCAGGACACCGGAAGGAUUGACAGAUUGAGAGCUCUUUCUUGAUUCGGUGGGUGGUGGUGCAUGGCCGUUCUUAGUUGGUGGUGCGAAUUGUCUGGUUAAUUCCGAUAACGAACGAGACUCUCGCCUGCUAAAUAGUCGCGUUCCGGCAUCCUUGGUCGCAGCCGGCGAAAUCUUAUCUUCUUAGAGGGACGAUCAGCUUCUAGCUGAACGAGGAGGAGCAAUAACAGGUCUGUGAUGCCCUUAGAUGUCCUGGGCCGCACGCGCGCCACACUGAGGACAACAGCGAGUGCUUUCCUCGCCCGAGAGGGCCGGGUAACCCGAGGAAACGCCCUCGUGCUAGGGAUUGGGGCUUGUAAUUGUACCCCACGAACGAGGAAUGUCUAGUAAGCGGGUGUCAUAAGCACCCGCUGAUUAUGUCCCUGCCCUUUGUCCACACCGCCCGUCGCUACUACCGAUUGAACGAGUUAGUGAGGUCCUCGGACCGGCGCUCGGACGGUUCCUCGCGGGCCGGCCGACGAUCGCCGGGAAGACGACCGAACUUGCUCGUUUAGAGGAAGUAAAAGUCGUAACAAGGUUUCC
rnacentral:rRNA from 1 species